rnacentral:rRNA from 1 species
AGUGAACGCUGGCGGUAGGCCUAACACAUGCAAGUCGAACGGCAGCACAGUAAGAGCUUGCUCUUACGGGUGGCGAGUGGCGGACGGGUGAGGAAUACAUCGGAAUCUACUUUUUCGUGGGGGAUAACGUAGGGAAACUUACGCUAAUACCGCAUACGACCUACGGGUGAAAGCAGGGGAUCUUCGGACCUUGCGCGAUUGAAUGAGCCGGUCGGAUUAGCUAGUUGGCGGGGUAAAGGCCCACCAAGGCGACGAGCCGUAGCUGGUCUGAGAGGAUGAUCAGCCACACUGGAACUGGGACACGGUCCAGACUCCUACGGGAGGCAGCAGUGGGGAAUAUUGGACAAUAGGCGCAAGCCUGAUCCAGCCAUACCGCGUGGGUGAAGAAGGCCUUCGGGUUGUAAAGCCCUUUUGUUGGGAAAGAAAAGCAGCAGGUUAAUACCCCGCUGUUCUGACGGUACCCAAAGAAUAAGCACCGGCUAACUUCGUG